UACAGAGGUCUCAAGCGUUUGUUCGGAUUCAUUGGGGCGUAAAGGGUGCGUAGGCGGCGCGGUAAGUCGGGGUGUGAAAUCUUGGAGCUUAACUCCGAAACUGCAUUCGAUACUGCCGUGCUUGAGGACUGGAGAGGAGACUGGAAUUUACGGUGUAGCGGUGAAAUGCGUAGAUAUCGUAAGGAAGACCAGUGGCGAAGGCGGGUCUCUGGACAGUUCCGUGA
rnacentral:rRNA from 1 species